UAUUCUUAAUUUUAUUUAUUUUUAGUUAAUAUUGGGGAAAUUUUAAUUUUGGGUAUGUGAAUUUACUCAUUGCUGAGACUUGCAUAAUCGGAAGGCAGAUAAGGAUGAAAAAGCUCGGCCAAAAUGGACUUCUUCCUAAAGUACUUCCGUCCCAUAUCUUUGCAAAGUUGAUCGUUGUACCAAAUAUUAUUAAUUCCAACACAAGAUCUCCAAAAGUAUUCCCCUGCAUAUUCUUUCAUGUUCAUCUCCCACGAGCUUAUUUCAUCCUCCAUUUCUUUUAUGCUCGGUACCUUGAAGCUUCCAUCAAGCACAUGUACUAGCCAUUGGCAUCUCAUGUCCGAGCUAAACAAGUCCGAUAUCCCCUCUGCGUACCCGAUCACCGCAAGCUGUGGAAUCCUUGGCUGAAUCACCUGUCUGCACUCAUGGUUUCGGAGAUUAAUGUUAUGAUUGAUUUUAUCCAAACAAUUGUCAAUUCAAAUUUUUAACAAUAGUUUAAGUCAAAUUUUAAAUUCUAAAUCUGCUGCCAAAUAGAUAUUUGAAAACAUGGAAUAAAUUUGAAUAAAAGAUUUUGAAAACUAUUCUAAAACAUAUAUGCUGAGGUUAUAUAUUAAGUUUUACCUGUACAGGGGCAUGAUGGAGGUUGGGGAGGUGGAGAUGUACUUUUGGAAAGUGGUAGAUUUGAAGAUGGAUUUGAGCUUUUGAUUUCCUUGGUACCCGGUGGCGAGAACGACGACAUCAGCUUCGACAGGUUGGGUGUCGUCGUCGUCGAUGACAA
rnacentral:lncRNA from 1 species